rnacentral:rRNA from 1 species
AUUGAACGCUGGCGGCAUGCCUUACACAUGCAAGUCGAACGGCAGCACGGGACCCUGCUCCUGGUGGCGAGUGGCGAACGGGUGAGUAAUGCAUCGGAACGUACCCGGAAGUGGGGGAUAACGUAGCGAAAGUUACGCUAAUACCGCAUAUUCUGUGAGCAGGAAAGAGGGGGAUCGCAAGACCUCUCGCUUUCGGAGCGGCCGAUGUCGGAUUAGCUAGUUGGUGGGGUAAAGGCCUACCAAGGCGACGAUCCGUAGCGGGUCUGAGAGGAUGAUCCGCCACACUGGAACUGAGACACGGUCCAGACUCCUACGGGAGGCAGCAGUGGGGAAUUUUGGACAAUGGGCGAAAGCCUGAUCCAGCCAUGCCGCGUGAGUGAAGAAGGCCUUCGGGUUGUAAAGCUCUUUCGGCUGAAAAGAAAUCGCACAGGCUAAUACCUUGUGUGGAUGACGGUAUCAGCAUAAGAAGCACCGGCUAACUACGUGCCAGCAGCCGCAGUAA